UACGUAGGCAGCAAGCGUUGUUCGGAAUUACUGGGCGUAAAGAGUGUGUAGGCGGUGCUCUAAGUUCGGUGUGAAAUCCCCCGGCUUAACUGGGAGGGUGCGCCGGAAACUGGAGUGCUCGAGCGUGGGAGAGGAAAGCGGAAUUCCUGGUGUAGCGGUGAAAUGCGUAGAUAUCAGGAGGAACACCUGCGGUGUAGACGGCUUUCUGGACCAUUGCUGACGCUGAGACACGAAAGCGUGGGUAGCAAACAGG
rnacentral:rRNA from 1 species